AUUGAACGCUGGCGGCAUGCCUUACACAUGCAAGUCGAACGGUAACAGGUUAAGCUGACGAGUGGCGAACGGGUGAGUAAUACAUCGGAACGUGCCCAGACGUGGGGGAUAGCUCGGCGAAAGCCGGAUUAAUACCGCAUGUGAUCUGAGGAUGAAAGCGGGGGACCGUAAGGCCUCGCGCGUUUGGAGCGGCCGAUGGCAGAUUAGGUAGUUGGUGGGGUAAAGGCUUACCAAGCCGACGAUCUGUAGCUGGUCUGAGAGGACGACCAGCCACACUGGGACUGAGAAACGGCCCAGACUCCUACGGGAGGCAGCAGUGGGGAAUUUUGGACAAUGGGCGCAAGCCUGAUCCAGCAAUGCCGCGUGCAGGAAGAAGGCCUUCGGGUUGUAAACUGCUUUUGUACGGAACGAAACGGUCUGGGUUAAUACCCUGGGCUAAUGACGGUACCGUAAGAAUAAGCACCGGCUAACUACGUGCCAGCCGCCGCAGUAAGAC
rnacentral:rRNA from 1 species